AACCCGCUUUCUCGAGCACUCUUCCAAUAGCAAGAAGAGGAACAGGUGGCGAUUUGGUGAAGUCAUAGAAGAAAUGGAGAGAGAGAGAUAUUCCAGAAACACCAACCAUAUGAGGUACUACAAUUGAGCAAAUGGCGUCCGACUUCGACACCUUCAUUGAGGAGGCACCUUCCGUCCCUCCUUGCUCCGCCCACCCCUUCGACGAUGACUACCAGCCCUUCAACUCCUACUCCUCUUUCAACCAGUGCCACCAACCUCCCCGUCAGUGACAUACCAUCCGUUAGGGCUUACGACUUCCCUGUCAAGGAAGAACCCCACCUCGACUACGGGGACGGGGAGAGAAUGCCGCUCUCGCCUGAGGGCUAUGGGUUCUCAUCAUCGCAGUAUCUGUUUACGAUUUCGGAAUCCAAUGAAAAGGGUUACGGCGAGGCGGGGGAUGACGGCGAGAUUUUCUCAUCGGACGACCCAGUUCUAUUUAAGCCCUACAAGAGUCAAUCACCAGUACGUUGUGCUGCUUAAAAUCAAUCCAAAGAUGGGUGGUAUAAACUCUUGCUUAUCAAUUGAAAGAUCAUCAGCUAUUCCUCUAGUCUCAGAUACACCGACAAUCAUUUUGGGGAGCCGAUGUUUGAUUUCUACAUUAGUUCAAGAAAAAGAAAACUAGAAAAUAUUAUCAUUUUUAGAGAUGGUAUUUGUGAAUCACAGUUUAUUCAAGUCCUCAAUAUUGAAUUGGAUCAAAUUAUUGAGGCCUGCAAGUUUCUUGAUGAACAAUGGUCUCCAAAGUUUACAUUAAUAAUUUCCUAGAAAAAUCAUCAUACCAAGUUUUUCCUUCCAAACUCGCCUGACAAUGUCCAACCUGGGAUUUCAGGGACUAUUAUUGAUAACAAAAUUUGUCAUCCAAGGAACUAUGACUUUUACAUAUGCGCUCAUGCUGGCAUGAUUGUAAGCUCUGUUUUCAACGGGCAUAACUCGGCCCACUCAUUACCAUGUGCUAAUGAAUGAGAUUGGGUUUACUACUGAUUCCUUGCAAGAGCUUGUUCAUUCCCUUUCCUAUGUAUUUCAGAGGAGCACAACUGCGAUAUCUGUUGGUAAGUUGGGCAGUCCUUUUGUGAUUUGUGUAGUUUGUUGUAUUGUUCCUCACUAAAUUAUAUCUAUAUAUAAUUUUUCUUUCAUGAUGCAGUUGCACCCAUCUGUUAUGCUCACUUGGCUGCAACACAAGUUGGGCAAUUUGUGAAAUUUGAAGAUUUAUAUAAUUGCACAUUUGAGUAAUCAUCCUAGAUUAUUGACUACUUAACUAUUUCCAAUCUAGAAUAGUCCUUGAUUGUCAACUUAGUCAUUCCAAUCUACAAAUUAUGCUCUUAUGUUUUUUUACUUAUGUUCGAUUAUAUUACAUUUUCCCUAACAAUUAUUAGUGCCUUACCUAUAAAAUGACUGAAAUGAUUGAAAUAACAAGGAACUUCAAUGAUAAUUUUGUUUGGGCUAUAAUAAUUGGAAUCAAACUACACUUGGCAAAGUUUCAGUCAAAAUUGCAAAUUGCAAAAGCCACUUCAAAACUUAAAAGAAAGGAUCCAAUUAUUGUGAUAGUUUUCUAUUCCAACACUGUUUAUUGGCUAAAAGUGACAAGUGAAUGUGUAUUUUACCACUUUAUCUCGGUUAUUUGUAUGUGUUGAUUAAAGCGCUUUAGAUUCAAUCUAAGAGCAGUUCUUGUUUGGUUAGCAUUAUUGCCAUUUGACUUCCAUAAGAAGCAAAAUCUACAAAUUUGACUUGACUGAAUUUAGGACAUUAUCCCAACUUUACUUUAUCUUUUACUUAUAUUUUCUUAUCCUUUACCUCUUAUUUUGAUCAUAUCUCCAAUAAUGGAUGCAAUCAACAUGACAAGUAUAGAUAGCUUAUAAUAUGCAAACAGUUGGAUGACCAGUGGAGUAUGAGAGAUAAGGAUCUUUGUUUUUCUUCUAGAAGCUCAAGUAUUUAUUGGCAAAUAGGAUUAAAAACAUUUUUUUGACUCUAGAUCAUGUAAUGCAGUUAAUUUACAAUCAUGUAAUGUAGUUUCCCUAGAUAACUUAAUUGUGGGUUUACAGUUCCAAGAGGACUUUUUAUCAUAUUAGAUUCUUUCUCAUGCCAUUGAUGCCAGGGAUAGUUGUAUAUAUGUUCUUACAAAGCUUUUUUGUGUGUGUGUAUUUGUUCCUUUCAAAUUUCAAUUUGGCAUAGACAUGAUGAUAGAUUAACUAAUCAUGACAUAAACAUCAAUUGAUAAUAAUUACUUUCAAAUAUAUAUAGGUAAAUUUUGUAUUAAUGGAAAGUAUAAAAUGCCAUAGUUCUCACAUUUUAAUAUUAUCUUUAAUAAAUAUUUUUAUUUGAAAAAUUCCAAUCAUUCAAUAAUAAAUUCUUGAAUACAAUACAAGAUAAACUAGAAUUUGAUGUAAAGUACAUGUGUGUAUAAGUAUUCAAAAAGUCACUUGUAUCUUAAAGUAGUAUUAAUCAUUAUCAGCAAUAUGUUAAACUAAUUAUAUUCAAAGCCUUUGAGCAUUGGUAUUAAUGCUUAUAAUGACAUUAUAAUUUAUUGAUUCUAGUGAGAACCAUGCAGUUUCAAAUCAUUAACAUUUAAAUAUCUAAGAGACAUUUGAUAUAAAAAUAGUUCACUUCCCUUUAUUUCCUUCAAGAGACUUUGUGUUCAUUCUUUGUGGUCAGCACCUUAUAUUGAUUCUAUGUAAAGUUUUUGUGUUGUAGAAACACAUUCCUACUUAUUGUGACAAAACAAAUUCUAACAAUUUCAAUUUUUCUAUUAGAAAUUUUGAUAAACAGCUGUUAGAGGUGAAAGAGAAAGGCAUAAUUUUGAAGUACUAAUAAAGAGAUAAAGAUCAUCAGCUAUUAUAAUCCAAAAGCAUGUGAGAAAAUGGUUAGUUAGGAAGAUCUUUAAUGAUCAUCUAAGGGACGUUAUGCUGUUGCAGUCUAGUAACAUACUUCUAUCUCCUCUCUUUGGUAUUUUUAUUAUUUCUUCUAGUUUAUUAGAAUUUGUAAUUCCUCGACAACUAUUCAUAGUUGUCUAGCAAGGCAGCAAUUCAUUGGUUUAACACUAUUUCAAAGAGAGGGGCAACACCGAAAGUCAUUCAAGGAAACAUAAAGAGAGGGUCAACAAGUGAGCAUCCGGAAGUUAUCAAGGAACUUUUGACGGAGGAACAGCUGUUCUUCUUCUCUGUACGAAUACGGCAGUUGGAGCGACUACCAAUCGGUGGCCCUCGAAAGCAGUCAUCGGCACUCUCCAGCGCCGGACACCGGUCGCCGAUGGCUCAACAUGGUCGUCAGCACGCGCAACACACAGAAAAACACAAAAAGGCUGUUGGCCGGCCUUUAGAGCGUUGUUAGCCACAGGCGUGUUGUCGGUCUCCUGGGAUAUAGUCACCAGCCCCAGAAUGCCCUCGCCGGUGUGUCCCCGUGAUGCAAUUCUGCUUCAAUGCAGUCGCCGGUGACGGCAAUGAUUCGGCAACAAACAGACAUGCUUUUACCAUAUAUAUGCUAUUCUAAUACCAUUGUAGCAUCUAUUUAGCAUGAAAUUCAAUAUCAAAUGUAAACACUUACUUCGAAUUGAUGUCUGCGACAAAUCUUUGGCUU